UGGGGAAUUUUGGACAAUGGGCGAAAGCCUGAUCCAGCAAUGCCGCGUGUGUGAAGAAGGCCUUCGGGUUGUAAAGCACUUUUGUCCGGAAAGAAAUCCUUGGCUCUAAUACAGUCGGGGGAUGACGGUACCGGAAGAAUAAGCACCGGCUAACUACGUGCCAGCAGCCGCGGUAAUACGUAGGGUGCAAGCGUUAAUCGGAAUUACUGGGCGUAAAGCGUGCGCAGGCGGUUUGCUAAGACCGAUGUGAAAUCCCCGGGCUCAACCUGGGAACUGCAUUGGUGACUGGCAGGCUAGAGUAUGGCAGAGGGGGGUAGAAUUCCACGUGUAGCAGUGAAAUGCGUAGAGAUGUGGAGGAAUACCGAUGGCGAAGGCAGCCCCCUGGGCCAAAUACUGACGCUCAUGCACGAAAGCGUGGGGAGCAAACAGGAUUAGAUACCCUGGUAGUCCACGCCCUAAACGAUGUCAACUAGUUGUUGGGGACUUCAUUUUCCUUAGUAACGUAGCUAACGCGUGAAGUUGACCGCCUGGGGAGUACGGUCGCAAGAUUAAAACUCAAAGGAAUUGAC
rnacentral:rRNA from 1 species